UACGGAGGGGGCUAGCGUUGCUCGGAAUCACUGGGCGUAAAGCGCACGUAGGCGGACUCUUAAGUCAGGGGUGAAAUCCUGGAGCUCAACUCCAGAACUGCCUUUGAUACUGGGAGUCUUGAGUUCGGGAGAGGUGAGUGGAACUGCGAGUGUAGAGGUGAAAUUCGUAGAUAUUCGCAAGAACACCAGUGGCGAAGGCGGCUCACUGGCCCGAUACUGACGCUGAGGUGCGAAAGCGUGGGGAGCAAACAGGG
rnacentral:rRNA from 1 species